rnacentral:rRNA from 1 species
AUUGAACGCUGGCGGCAUGCCUUACACAUGCAAGUCGAACGGCAGCACGGGGCAACCUGGUGGCGAGUGGCGAACGGGUGAGUAAUGCAUCGGAACGUACCCGGAAGUGGGGGAUAACGUAGCGAAAGUUACGCUAAUACCGCAUAUUCUGUGCGCAGGAAAGAGGGGGAUCUUCGGACCUCUUGCUUUCGGAGCGGCCGAUGUCAGAUUAGCUAGUUGGUGAGGUAAAGGCUCACCAAGGCGACGAUCUGUAGCGGGUCUGAGAGGAUGAUCCGCCACCCUGGGACUGGGACACGGCCCAGACUCCUACGGGAGGCAGCAGUGGGGAAUUUUGGACAAUGGGCGCAAGCCUGAUCCAGCCAUGCCGCGUGAGUGAAGAAGGCCUUCGGGUUGUAAAGCUCUUUCGGCCGGGAAGAAAUCGCGUGAGUUAAUACCUUGCGUGGAUGACGGUACCGGAAUAAGAAGCACCGGCUAACUACGUGCCAGCCGCCGCCGUAAAAC